GACAAGUCUGACUUGCUUGACGGAGUGCGAGCUAUUCACUUGCAAUAAACCAACUUUCCCAAACACGAGGGAAUGAGUCAUCAAUUGGCAAAACGUUUUAGGUUGAUUCAAUUCAAUCUGUAGCGGCUCUGGCGAUCAACACCGAACUUUGCUGCUGAUUCAAGACCGUCAUUGAAGAUUCAAUCUCGACUUGACGUUUGACAACGUACGGAAUCCUAGGAGUUGACUUACGACAAGGGUUUGGAAGGGCUCAACGAAAUGGUUUCCUUUUCCAAGAAUCCGGAAUCUUUGGGCCGUCUGAACGAGGCCGGGAA